GAAAUAACUUUAUUAAAGCUUCUAACUUUAAAUUAAGCGUAUGAACGUUUUUAUUUCU
rnacentral:tRNA from 1 species